rnacentral:rRNA from 1 species
UACGUAGGGACCAAGCGUUGUUCGGAUUUACUGGGCGUAAAGGGCGCGUAGGCGGCAAUUCAAGUCAGCUGUGAAAUCUCCGAGCUUAACUCGGAACGGUCAGCUGAUACUGUUUUGCUAGAGUGCAGAAAGGGCAACCGGAAUUCUUGGUGUAGCGGUGAAAUGCGUAGAUAUCAAGAGGAACACCUGAGGCGAAGGCGGGUUGCUAGGCUGACACUGACGCUGAUGCGCGAAAGCCAGGGGAGCGAACGGG